GACGAACGCUGGCGGCGUGCUUAACACAUGCAAGUCGAACGGAGUGCCCUUGAAAGAGGCUUCGGCCAAUGGAUGGGAACACUUAGUGGCGGACUGGUGAGUAACGCGUGAGGAACCUGCCUUUCAGAGGGGGACAACAGUUGGAAACGACUGCUAAUACCGCAUGACACAUUGAGGGGGCAUCCCUGGAUGACCAAAGAUUUAUUGCUGAAAGAUGGUCUCGCGUCUGAUUAGCUGGUUGGCGGGGUAACGGCCCACCAAGGCGACGAUCAGUAGCCGGUCUGAGAGGAUGAACGGCCACAUUGGGACUGAGAUACGGCCCAG
rnacentral:rRNA from 1 species